AAAGUCGUAACAAGGUUUCCGUAGGUGAACCUGCGGAAGGAUCAUCAACAAAUCCUAAUUACCAACCCAUGUGUGAAGCGUAGUUGUUGUUGUUGUUGAAAUAAAUGUUUGACAAUAAUGAAAAUGUGUGUGCAUAUGCGUGUGUGUAUGUAGUGUACGGCGCGCAUGUGCAUGCAUGUGGAUUUAUUUAAGACAUUAUAUGACAACGAUGAUAAACAUUUUUAAAAAACAAUGAACCACUUGAUCUCAACCAAAUGUAGUCUUUAAUUUUUGAUGUGUGUGUGGAUAUUAAAAUGUUGACAUACAUACAGAAAAAGAAAAAACUAAAAGACAACUUUUAACGGUGGAUCUCUUGGCUCGUGCAUCGAUGAAGAACGCAGCCAGCUGCGAUACGUAAUGUGAAUUGCAGAAUUGAGUGAAACAUCGAAUUUUUGAACGCAAAUUGCGCUCUUGGGUUAUCCUGGGAGCAUGUCUGCCUGAGUGUCACUUAAACCUAAGAUUCAAGCAACGAAUUGUUUUUAAAAACAGACAGUUGUUUCAUUGAGAAGUGGGCUUUUCACCUGAUGAUUAUUGAGUUAAUGAUUGGGUAGCCUUAAGAAGAACGAUGCGUUGAUCUGGUAUUACAAGAUUGAUGUGUAUUGCACCAAAGUGGUAAAAACCUUACAGCUUUAGAGCGAUAUCACAGCCAUUUAUGAUUUUGUUUUCGCCGCAGCAUCCAACACAUACACUAACAAAACUUAAACUUUUGACCUCAGAUCAGACAAGACUACCCGCUG
rnacentral:rRNA from 1 species